rnacentral:rRNA from 1 species
UACGGGGGGGGCAAGCGCUGUUCGGAAUUACUGGGCGUAAAGGGCGCGUAGGCGGCCUGCUAAGUCGGACGUGAAAUCCCUCGGCUCAACCGGGGAACUGCGUCCGAUACUGGCGAGGCUUGAAUCCGGGAGAGGGAUGUGGAAUUCCAGGUGUAGCGGUGAAAUGCGUAGAUAUCUGGAGGAACAUCGGUGGCGAAGGCGGCAUCCUGGACCGGUAUUGACGCUGAGGCGCGAAAGCCAGGGGAGCAAACGGG